rnacentral:rRNA from 1 species
UACGGGGGGGGCAAGCGUUGUUCGGAAUUACUGGGCGUAAAGGGCGCGUAGGCGGCCUGCUAAGUCGGAUGUGAAAAUCCCUCGGCUCAACCGAGGAACUGCAUCCGAUACUGGCGGGCUUGAAUCCGGGAGAGGGAUGUGGGAUUCCGGGUGUAGCGGUGGAAUGCGUAGAGAUCCGGAAGAACACCGGUGGCGAAAGCGGC